UGCGUAGGUGGCAUGGUAAGUCGGAUGUGAAAUCCUGGGGCUCAACCCCGGAACUGCAUUCGAUACUGCUGCGCUAGAGUACUGGAGAGGAGAUUGGAAUUUACGGUGUAGCAGUGAAAUGCGUAGAUAUCGUAAGGAAGACCAGUGGCGAAGGCGGAUCUCUGGACAGUUACUGACACUGAGGCACGAAGGCCAGGGAGCAAACG
rnacentral:rRNA from 1 species